rnacentral:rRNA from 1 species
AGCGAACGCUGGCGGCAGGCCUAACACAUGCAAGUCGAACGAACAUUUCGGGGUUAGUUGCGGUCGGGUGGGUGACAAGUGGGAACUUGCAUUUAGGUUCGGUAUCACUCAGGGUAACUUGUGCUAAUAACGAAUGUGCUCUUCGGGGGAAAGAUUUCUUGCUUUUAGAGCGGCGCGCGUCUGUUUCGCUAGUUGGUUGAGGUAAUGGCUCACCACGGCGUCGAUCAGUAGCUGGUCGGUGAAGAUGAUCAGUCACAUUGGGACUGAGACACGGCCCAAACUCCGACGGAGGGGAGGAGUGGGGAAUCUUGCGCAAGGGGCGAAAGCCUGACACAGCCAUGCGGGGUGAAUGAGGAAUGGCUUAGGAUUGUAAAAUUCUUUCAGCGGGGACGAUAAUGACGGUACCCGGAGAAGAAGCCCCGGCUAACUUCGUG